AUGCUCAGCGCAGUCGAAAUAACGCUCGUCCAUACGAAGGACAAGGCAUCGGUGUUGUAUGCCGAAGUUGGAGGGGAUUUUCUUGAUCUUCUCUUCGGGUUGCUUUGCGUUCCACUUGGAUCCAUAAUCAAGACAUACGGUCAAUGGUCACAAAACGGGUCCAUCGAUGGUCUUUACAGAAAUAUUGACGAGAGCGCAAGAACAUGGAUGAAACAAGAAUGCCAAACGGUACUUCUAUCUCCCAAGUUGGCACCCUUCUUUGGGUGCAGCAGCAAUGUACUACAAAUAGAAGAGAUGAGUCCAAGAAGUCUGACCUUCAGAUGCUUCAAGUGUCAUGUAGUUGAAGCUGCAUACACAGGCGGUUGCAGUUGCUCUUACCCUGAUAAGAUUACUUUUGUGGAAUCGAACCCGAAGUUCAGAGGCAUAGGAAGUGACAGCACAGCUAAGGCAUAUGUCCAUGGAGGGCUCGGAAAGUUCCUGGUGACGAGCGACCUACGUGUCCUCGAUUUCACCAUGACCAACACUCUGCAAGUCAUGCGCGCAGCUAAGAUUCCCAAGGAGAAGCUUGUGGAGAAAGAGCUCACCCUGGACAAAACCCAGGUUCUGAAGCUCCUAAGGGCUGCGAUGAUGACUCGCGACGCCCUCACCAGCUUGCUCCUGCCUCCCAAGAAGUAG
rnacentral:rRNA from 1 species